AACUAUUCAACAGAUUUGAUUCUCUAGUAUGCUGACGUGUUUGUCUUAUCCAAACCUAGCUCAUUGUGUAUAAGAGCAUCACAAUGUAAAUCUGGAAACGUUAAGUUGAAUAAUAUCCAGUAAAGUUCAUCUUCUCUCUAAAGCUUUCUUCAAGCUUUUCAUCGACUACAUGAGAUCACUGAUCCGAUCGACAUGAGAUCGUGAUCCUUAUUGUUUGUAAUCCUUCUUCUCUAUCAAUAAUGUGUUCUUUGGAUAUCUUUACUCUAUCAACGGUAUAACCACUAGUGUUGUUGACCUUAGCCGGUUCGGUCCUUCCCGGUUUACCAAAAGAAGAGGAGAGGUUCAGUGUAUAGUGUGCUUGGUUAUCAAAGCUACUCUUCUCGAUGUUGUCUUCCUUAAGAAAAUAGAAUCAUAGAAAAGCCGUUAAAUAAUGUGACAAUGAUGCGUACUGCGUGGUUGUGUUUUGUAAUUGUUGUGCAUUCCGCAUCGAAUCAAAAUGUACUAUUUUUUACUUUCCG
rnacentral:lncRNA from 1 species